UACAGAGGGUGCGAGCGUUGUCCGGAAUCACUGGGCGUAAAGGGCGCGUAGGUGGCGACCCAAGUCGAUGGUGAAAGCUCGCCGUUCAACGGCGAGUCGGCCACCGAUACUGGGUUGCUGGAGCACUGUAGAGGCUCAUGGAAUUCCGGGUGUAGCGGUGGAAUGCGUAGAGAUCCGGAAGAACACCGGUGGCGAAGGCGGCCUGCUGGGCAGUAGCUGGACGCUGAUGCGCGACAGCGUGGGGAGCAAACAGG
rnacentral:rRNA from 1 species